rnacentral:rRNA from 1 species
UACGGGGGGAGCAAGCGUUGUUCGGAUUUACUGGGCGUAAAGGGCGCGUAGGCGGCCAGUGCAAGUCAGUUGUGAAAUCUCCGAGCUUAACUCGGAAAGGUCAACUGAUACUGCUCGGCUAGAGUGCGGAAGGGGCAACUGGAAUUCUUGGUGUAGCGGUGAAAUGCGUAGAUACCAAGAGGAACACCUGCGGCGAAGGCGGGUUGCUGGGCCGACACUGACGCUGAUGCGCGAAAGCUAGGGGAGCGAACGGG